ACGAACGCUGGCGGCGUGCUUAACACCUGCAAGUCGAACGGUGAAGCGCCUUCCUUUUUGGUGGGUGUGGAUGAGUGGCGAACGGGUGAGUAACACGUGAGUAACCUGCCCCCUUCUUCUGGAUAACCGCAUGAAAGUGUGGCUAAUACGGGAUAUUCUGGGUCUGUCGCAUGAUGGGUCUGGGAAAGAUAUUGUUUCGGUGGGGGAUGGGCUCGCGGCCUAUCAGCUUGUUGGUGGGGUGAUGGCCUACCAAGGCGGUGACGGGUAGCCGGCCUGAGAGGGUGGACGGUCACACUGGGACUGAGACACGGCACAGACUCCUACGGGAGGCAGCAGUGGGGAAUAUUGCAUAAUGGGCGCAAGCCUGAUGCAGCGACGCCGCGUGAGGGAUGGAGGCCUUCGGGUUGUGAACCUCUUUCGCCAGUGAAGCAGGCCUGCCUCGUUUGUGGGUGGGUUGACGGUAGCUGGAUAAGAAGCGCCGGCUAACUACGUG
rnacentral:rRNA from 1 species